UAUUGGACAAUGGGCGAAAGCCUGAUCCAGCCAUGCCGCGUGUGUGAAGAAGGUCUUCGGAUUGUAAAGCACUUUAAGUUGGGAGGAAGGGUUGUAGAUUAAUACUCUGCAAUUUUGACGUUACCGACAGAAUAAGCACCGGCUAACUCUGUGCCAGCAGCCGCGGUAAUACAGAGGGUGCAAGCGUUAAUCGGAAUUACUGGGCGUAAAGCGCGCGUAGGUGGUUCGGUAAGAUGGAAGUGAAAGCCCCGGGCUCAACCUGGGAACUGCUUUCAUAACUGCCGAGCUAGAGUACGGUAGAGGGUAGUGGAAUUUCCUGUGUAGCGGUGAAAUGCGUAGAUAUAGGAAGGAACACCAGUGGCGAAGGCGACUACCUGGACUGGUACUGACACUGAGGUGCGAAAGCGUGGGGAGCAAACAGG
rnacentral:rRNA from 1 species